ensembl:snRNA U2 U2 spliceosomal RNA
AUCGCUUCUCGGCCUUUUGGCUAAGAUCAAGUGUAGUAUCUGUUCUUAUCAGUUUAAUAUCUGAUAUGUCCUCUAUUUGAGGACUACAUAUUAAAUGGAUUUUUGGAAUUGGGAGAUGGAAUAGGGGCUUGCUCCGUCCACUCCAAGCAUCAGCCUGGUAUUGCAGUACCUCCAGGAAUGGUGCACCUCCC